rnacentral:lncRNA from 1 species
CUUCGGUCGCCGCCGGCGGGCGCCCCCGAGGCCCGUAGGCCCCCGGCCCCCGCCACCCCAGCGCCGGCCCCACUCACCCUUUCAUUCUCCGCCCCGGGCCUGGCGUGGGCCGGCAAAUCCCCGGCCUCACGUAAGCGCGCUCGCCGCCCGCCCUGCCUGCGCGGCCCAGCCCGCCGCCCUACGGGAGCCCGGGGAUGUGGGCCGGGCCUGGGGCCGCCUCUGCUUACCUUUCAGCUGCUUUUUUUUUUUUUUUUUUUUUUCCUUCCUCCUUCCCCCCUUUUCCCUCGGCUGGGCUGACAGAUCAGAGUGAGAGGCGCUGGCAAUGGACUAGGAAGCUCGGCUGCCGCUGCUAUUGCUCCCCCCUGGGCUUCAGUGAGAGCCUUUCCCUGUCAAGCAAGAGGGGUGAGGAUCAUAUUUUUAUUUUGGAAAGUAAAAAGUGCUCCCAGGGUCGGUGAUUAUUAAGGGGAAAUCCCUGAAUAUACUCUCCAGCCAAGAAGGCAGGGCUGCCGGGGCUGCACAAGAAGAGGCAGCAGCCUCCUACAGCACCACUACAGGCACUGCGAGGACAUAACACCAGAGAGUGGCUCCUCUGCCCUCCGAAACGACAACUUUCCUACCAUCUUGGAGGCAGAGCAAAGGGGGGCCAGGGGGAAAAGUGCACUCUCUCCCUGAUAAAGUGCACAUUUCUACUUCUCACCUCUGGAAAAAAGUCCACACCGGCCGUCGACACCAGCGCCUGAGGGAGAAAGCAGGGAAGAAACUGAGGGUUCAUGAGAAACGUGUGCAUUUGCUCCAGGGGGGAAAAUGUUUCUGCAUCUUCUGAUGGGAAGAAAUCUUUACAAGACACAGGUUUUCCGGUGAUUAUUGUUUUCUCUUUUCUAUCUUAAUUUUUUUCCAUGUUAGUGAAAGUCGUAUUUUUUUUUUAAAGUCAGUAAUGAUUUUUGUCCAUUACAGGUUUAAGUUCUGUGGCUGGUGGACAGUUUAUAAAUCUGUACUUCAAGAGACUUCAUAGUUAUUUUGUCUAUUUAUUUUUGUUACUCUAUAUAUAAAUGUUUGUGUUUUCAUAUAUAAACAUACACAUAUGUCUGUAUUACGUAUUCUAAACUGAGAUUGCUGUAAGACAAUUGUAAAGAGAUGUCUUUUGUCUCCUCCUUGCAAAGCAAUGUAAAUAAAACCUAUUGACUGUCCAGAAAGGCAUAAUACAGCUAUUUAUUUUUCACAGUGCAAAUAAAAGCAGACAUCACUGGAGGUUUAAAUCCAACCCCAGUGUAUAACUGACCAUGUUUCUGGAAAUAAUCCUAAUUCUGUUGUGGUCUGCCCAUGAAGGAAGAAUACUGUAAACCUGGAAAUAGAUUUUUAAACUCAGCUUUAGGUUUCUUAAGGAAAAUUAUUAAGAUUGAUAGGUGGUCAUUUCGUUUUUAUCUAUCUAGAGUCCUUAAAGUUUAGGUCUUUGUAUUACAUAUGUUGCUGUCUGCAUCCUGUAUCACAGAAUUGAGAAAUCUGUUAUUUUUGUUAAAGUUGAAAUGUUAGUUCAGAACUUUAACUGUGUUGCCGGUCUGUAUGAAUGAGUUUUCAUAUAUUACAACGAAUGUCAUGAAGCUGUUGUUUUUUUUUUUGUUUUUGUUUUUGUUUUUUUAAUGAACAAAGCAUGGUAGGUUAAUAGGAUGAAAAAUAAACAAUAUUGAGGUAGUGCAAAAGUGAUAGAAGGGCAUUGCCUAUUUGCAUCAGUUCCAAGAGAAUUCUUAUUGGAGAAAAAUGAAUUAUACAGACUUUUUCCAUUUUUGUGAAGAGAGAGAAGAAUGGUAGAAAAUGACCAGACUGUCUUUAUGUAUGUUCUACAGGGAAUGAGGAAUGGAAUUUUGUACUAAAAGAUAUUUUUUCUAACACAUGUUGGCUAACCUCAUGGGAAUGAAUUUGUAGUAUUAGUGCCUUGGAUCAGUAGUAAGUAACUUAUGACUCCACAUAAAAAUGUCUAUUUUUUGAGCUCCCGAAUUCAGAAAUUGUUAUAUAACUUUAAGGUGAGUUCAGUUAAUGCACAUAUCAGGUAUUCACUCUGCCUUGCUGAACCCCAUCUUUAUUAUCUAAAUUUGAAUAUAAUACCUGAAUAUCCGAAUUAUUUUUGUGGUUUUUGCCUCCCUCUUUAAUAGGGAAAAAAAAAAGUAAGUAAAAUUAACUGGUUUAUUUAUUUAUUUAGUUGUUUAUUGUACUGGGGAUUGAAACCAGGGUGCUUUACCACUGAGCCACAUCCCCAGCCCUUUUUAUUUUUUAUUUUGAGAUAGGGCCUUGCUAAAUUGCUGAGACUGGUUUGGAACUUUGGGUCCUCCUGCCUCUGCCUCCAGAGCCACUGCCAACUUAACUGGUUCUUAACAUCUUUGAAGCCUCAGUUGUGAACUUUGCUUUACUUAUUUGUUUUUAACAUUUGGAGAUAAACACAGUGGUCAUUGCAAGGAAACUAUUUCCCUUUACUUAGACCUCUAGUGAACUUGAAAACCAUGUUUGCUAAAAGCUUGUUUUUCCUUAUAUAUGAUAUAACUUUAUAGAUGAUGUUUUCAGUGUUUCAAGAAAUUCAGAUGUAUUUGUUUGCCUUAAGCUGGCUGUAUCUUUUUAUGCAAUCCCUUUUGUCACCCAAGAGACAUGUGCUUGCAUGAUGUCUAUCAGGCUAAUACUGUACUUGUAUAAUCACAGGAUUUCAGUGCUUUCUCUUUAUAAAGGUUGACUUGUACAUGGGUAUAAACUAUUUAUUCAUCAUCCUAGCCAACUAGUCAAAAUUUGGGGGAUUGCUGCUCAACUAAGAAGAAUCCCACUGAAUUUGCAAUAUUGGUGAAUUUGGUCACUUGUUUCCGUUGUUAACUCAUUUCAGGCACCCUCAAUUCUUAGAAGCAAAAGUGCUAAAAAAAAAAAAAAAGCUGUCAUAAUUUAGGAGCACUUUUUUUUCCUCCAGCAAAAUUCUCACUACUCAAAUUUGGCUAACUUUUGAAAAGGGGUCUUGCUCUGUUGCCAACACCUGGGCUCAAGUGAUCCUCCCACUUCAACCUCCUUAGUAGCUUGAAUUAGUCAAAUACCUGCCUGUCACCACCCUGCUGGCUCACAUUGGUAACUUUGCUAGAUAGUUUUGUUUUGUUUUUUUUUGUUUUGUUUUGUUUUGUUUUAAAGAGAGAGAGAGAGAGAGAAUUUUAAUAUUUAUUUUUUAGUUCUUGGCAGACACAACAUCUUUGUAUGUGGUGCUGAGGAUCGAACCCGGGCCGCACGCAUGCCAGGCGAGCAUGCUUCCGCUUGAGCCACAUCCCCAGCCCGAUACUUUUUUAAAAAGUAGUUUUAAUUGUAGAUGGACACGAUACCUUAAUUUUAUUUAUUUAUUUUUAUGUGGUGCUGAGGAUCAAGCUCUGUGCUAGGUGAGCGCUGUACUUCAACUGAGUUACAAUUCCAACCCUGCUAGAUACCUUUAUGUAUGUAUUCUCAUUUAAUUCCCACAGGAGCUCCAAAAAGUUUUAUGCUAUUUUUUUCCUUUUAUUUUUUUAAGACAGGAUAGUUGUCUAAUUUGUCAGAGUGUGAAAUUUCUUGGCUCAAUAAAAUUCUAGGUUCUGCCCUGCAGUUUCCAAGGUGCCUACUAAAAUGCCAUGGGUCUAGAAAUCCUAGGUUCCUGACCACUGUGCUUUGCCAAAAACAAUUUUAGUCACCUGCUACUGGAGCCCUCUUUCAUUCAUUAGUUAACUAGUAGCUUAUUUCACCUUCCUGAAGUGUAGUGCCUAAAUCUAUCAAUUGUUUUGAAGAAUGCAAAAAGGUUAAUAUUUGUCAGUGAAAUGCACUGUGAGCCAGGUGCAGUAGCAUACACCACACCUAUAGUCCCAGCAACUACGGAGGCUGAGGCAGGGCAAGUUCUAAGCCAGCAUGGGCAAUUUAGCAAGAUCCUGUCUUAAAAUUUAAAUAAUAAUAGUAAAUGGG